CCUACGGGAGGCAGCAGUGAGGAAUAUUGGUCAAUGGACGAGAGUCUGAACCAGCCAAGUAGCGUGAAGGAUGACUGCCCUAUGGGUUGUAAACUUCUUUUAUAUGGGAAUAAAAUGUUCCACGUGUGGGAUUUUGUAUGUACCAUAUGAAUAAGUAUCGGCUAACUCCGUGCCAGCAGCCGCGGUACUACGGAGGAUCCGAGCGUUAUCCGGAUUUAUUGGGUUUAAAGGGAGCGUAGGUGGAUUGUUAAGUCAGUUGUGAAAGUUUGCGGCUCAACCGUAAAAUUGCAGUUGAAACUGGCAGUCUUGAGUACAGUAGAGGUGGGCGGAAUUCGUGGUGUAGCGGUGAAAUGCUUAGAUAUCACGAAGAACUCCGAUUGCGAAGGCAGUUCACUGGACUGCAACUGACACUGAGGCUCGAAAGUGUGGGUAUCAAACAGGAUUAGAUACCCUUGUAGUC
rnacentral:rRNA from 1 species